rnacentral:rRNA from 1 species
UUCGGUGCCCAUAGCACCAAGGCAACACCUGUUCCCAUUCCGAACACAGAAGUUAAGCUUGGUUACGGCGAAGAUAGUCUUCGGGCGAAAAUAGCAAGGUGCCGAAU